rnacentral:ncRNA from 1 species
CACACCGCCUUGAAUGGUCCGGUGAAGUGUUCGGAUCUCAGCGAUGGAGGCGGUCCGCAGCUGGCGACGUUGCGAGAAGUCCACUAAGCCUUAUCAUUUAGAGGAAGGAGAAGUCGUAACAAGGUUUCCGUAGGUGAACCUGCGAAAG